UACGUAGGUGGCAAGCGUUGUUCGGAUUUACUGGGCGUAAAGGGCGCGUAGGCGGCUUGUCAAGUCACUUGUGAAAUCUCUGGGCUUAACCCAGAACGGCCAAGUGAAACUGACAUGCUAGAGUGCAGAAGGGGCAAUCGGAAUUCUUGGUGUAGCGGUGAAAUGCGUAGAUAUCAAGAGGAACACCUGAGGUGAAGACGGGUUGCUGGGCUGACACUGACGCUGAGGCGCGAAAGCCAGGGGAGCAAACGGG
rnacentral:rRNA from 1 species